rnacentral:rRNA from 1 species
UUUGCGUCGAAGGUAUACCGGUAAGGAGUGCUGGAGCGAAUAGAAGUGAGCAUGCAGGCAUGAGUAGCGAUAAUUAAUGUGAGAAUCAUUAACGCCGUAAACCCAAGGUUUCCUACGCGAUGCUCGUCAUCGUAGGGUUAGUCGGGUCCUAAGUCGAGUCCGAAAGGGGUAGACGAUGGCAAAUUGGUUAAUAUUCCAAUACCAACAUUAGUGUGCGAUGGAAGGACGCUUAGGGCUAAGGGGGCUAGCGGAUGGAAGUGCUAGUCUAAGGUCGUAGGAGGUUAUACAGGCAAAUCCGUAUAACAAUACUCCGAGAACUGAAAGGCUUUUUGAAGUCUUCGGAUGGAUAGAAGAACCCCUGAUGCCGUCGAGCCAAGAAAAGUUUCUAAGUUUAGCUAAUGUUGCCCGUACCGUAAACCGACACAGGUGGGUGGGAUGAGUAUUCUAAGGCGCGUGGAAGAACUCUCUUUAAGGAACUCUGCAAAAUAGCACCGUAUCUUCGGUAUAAGGUGUGGUUCGCUUCGUAUUAGGAUUUACUCCGAAAGCGAAGAAACUUACAACAAAGAGUCCCUCCCGACUGUUUACCAAAAACACAGCACUCUGCUAACUCGUAAGAGGAUGUAUAGGGUGUGACGCCUGCCCGGUGCUCGAAGGUUAAUUGAUGGGGUUAGCAUUAGCGAAGCUCUUGAUCGAAGCCCGAGUAAACGGCGGCCGUAACUAUAACGGUCCUAAGGUAGCGAAAUUCCUUGUCGGUUAAAUACCGACCUGCAUGAAUGGCGUAACGAGAUGGGAGCUGUCUCAAAGAGGGAUCCAGUGAAAUUGUAGUGGAGGUGAAAAUUCCUCCUACCCGCGGCAAGACGGAGAGACCCCGUGGACCUUUACUACAGCUUGACACUGCUACUUGGAUAAGAAUGUGCAGGAUAGGUGGGAGGCUUUGAGUAUAUGACGCCAGUUGUAUAUGAGCCAUUGUUGAGAUACCACUCUUUCUUAUUUGGGUAGCUAACCAGCUUGAGUUAUCCUCAAGUGGGACAAUGUCUGGUGGGUAGUUUGACUGGGGCGGUCGCCUCCCAAAUAAUAACGGAGGCUUACAAAGGUUGGCUCAGAACGGUUGGAAAUCGUUCGUAGAGUAUAAAGGUAUAAGCCAGCUUAACUGCAAGACAUACAAGUCAAGCAGAGACGAAAGUCGGUCUUAGUGAUCCGGUGGUUCUGUGUGGAAGGGCCAUCGCUCAAAGGAUAAAAGGUACCCCGGGGAUAACAGGCUGAUCUCCCCCAAGAGCUCACAUCGACGGGGAGGUUUGGCACCUCGAUGUCGGCUCAUCGCAUCCUGGGGCUGGAGCAGGUCCCAAGGGUAUGGCUGUUCGCCAUUUAAAGCGGUACGCGAGCUGGGUUCAGAACGUCGUGAGACAGUUCGGUCCCUAUCUGCCGUGGGCGUAAGAAGAUUGAAGAGAUUUGACCCUAGUACGAGAGGACCGGGUUGAACAAACCACUGGUGUAGCUGUUGUUCUGCCAAGAGCAUCGCAGCGUAGCUAAGUUUGGAAAGGAUAAACGCUGAAAGCAUCUAAGCGUGAAGCCAACUCUAAGAUGAAUCUUCUCUAAGCUCUCUAGAAGACUACUAGUUUGAUAGGCUGGGUGUGUAAUGGAUGAAAGUCCUUUAGCUGACCAGUACUAAUAGAGCGUUUGGCUUAUCUUUAAUAAAGCAU